rnacentral:rRNA from 1 species
CCCUUGGAUGUUCUGGGCAGCACGCGCGCUACAAUGGUCUUCGCAAACGGAUGCAUUCUCGAAGGAGAAUACCAAUCUUGGAAUCUAUGCCUUGGUCGGGACAGUUGCUUGCAAUUUUUCGACUCGAACCAGGAAUUCCUUGUAAUCGUGAUUCAUCACAUCACGAUGAAUACGUCCCUGCCCUUUGUACACACCGCCCGUCGCUCCUACCGAUCGAAGAGUUAGGUGAAUUGUUUUGAUCGAUAAGAUUUGACUAUGGUCAACUCUCGUUGUGAAAUUCUGUGAAUCUGACUGUUUAGAGGAAGGAAAAGUCGUAACA